GGGUUGAAACACCCGUUGCCAUCCGAUCACCGAAGUUAAGCAAUGACGAGCCUGGUCAGUACUUAGAUCGAUGACCGUUAGAAAAUAACAGUUGCUGUAAG